rnacentral:rRNA from 1 species
UUUUGGACAAUGGGGGCAACCCUGAUCCAGCAAUGCCGCGUGAGUGAAGAAGGCCUUCGGGUUGUAAAGCUCUCUUGUCAGGGAAGAAACACCGGCUCUAACACAGUCCGGGAAUGACGGUACCUGAAGAAUAAGCACCGGCUAACUACGUGCCAGCAGCCGCGGUAAUACGUAGGGUGCAAGCGUUAAUCGGAAUUACUGGGCGUAAAGCGUGCGCAGGCGGUUAUACAAGACAGGCGUGAAAUCCCCGGGCUUAACCUGGGAAUGGCGCCUGUGACUGUAUAGCUAGAGUGUGUCAGAGGGGGGUAGAAUUCCACGUGUAGCAGUGAAAUGCGUAGAUAUGUGGAGGAAUACCAAUGGCGAAGGCAGCCCCCUGGGAUAACACUGACGCUCAUGCACGAA